rnacentral:rRNA from 1 species
CCAGACUCCUACGGGAGGCAGCAGUGGGGAAUAUUGCACAAUGGGCGAAAGCCUGAUGCAGCAACGCCGCGUGAAGGAAGACGGUUUUCGGAUUGUAAACUUCUGUUCUUAGUGAAGAAUAAUGACGGUAACUAAGGAGCAAGCCACGGCUAACUACGUGCCAGCAGCCGCGGUAAUACGUAGGUGGCAAGCGUUAUCCGGAUUUAUUGGGUUUAAAGGGUGCGUAGGCGGACAGUCAAGUCAGCGGUAAAAAUGCGGUGCUCAACGCCGUACAGCCGUUGAAACUGGCAGUCUUGAGUGGGCGAGAAGUAUGCGGAAUGCGUGGUGUAGCGGUGAAAUGCAUAGAUAUCACGCAGAACUCCGAUUGCGAAGGCAGCAUACCGGCGCCCGACUGACGCUGAGGCACGAAAGCGUGGGUAUCGAACAGGAUUAGAUACCCCCGUAU